rnacentral:rRNA from 1 species
CCUACGGGUGGCUGCAGUGAGGAAUAUUGCGCAAUGGAGGCAACUCUGACGCAGCCAUGCCGCGUGCAGGAAGAAGGCGCUACGCGUUGUAAACUGCUUUUAUCCGGGAAGAAACCCCAGGACGUGUCCUGGGUUGACGGUACCGGAGGAAUAAGCACCGGCUAACUUCGUGCCAGCAGCCGCGGUAAUACGAAGGGUGCAAGCGUUAUCCGGAUUCAUUGGGUUUAAGGCGUGCCAAGGAGGCAGAAUAGAAAUCCUGCAGCUCAACUGUAGAAUUGCCGUUGAUACUGUUGUUCUUGAGUACGCUUGACGUGGGCGGAAUGUGCCGUGUAGCGGUGAAAUGCUUAGAUAUGGCACAGAACACCGAUAGUGAAGACAGCUCACGAAGGCGAAACUGACGCUGAGGCACGAAAGCGUGGGGAUCGAACAGGAUUAGAUACCCCUGUAGUC